rnacentral:lncRNA from 1 species
UUAAGCCUAGUUGCUCUAUAAUUGGACAAUGUUUGUCAAAUAAAAACAAAAAUGUUACAGUAUCAAAAUCAAAAAAAAACUUUCGGAUCUAAACAAGGCCUAGUUAGCUAGCAUGCAUGUCCCCGCCCCAUAUGUUACCUCCAGCUAUCGAAGCCUGCGUCGCGCGCGCUCGCCGCUGCAAAGUGUACCUCGAUCGUGCCCGUCUGCCACGACCACAUGCCUAUGCGCGUCGAUCGGGCCCGGCCACCGCAUGCAAGGCUUAUGCAUUGCCUCUCGCGCCCCCGUCCGCGCCUUCCUGGCAGCAGCUAGUGCUUCUGACUGCCGUGCGCGUCUGCCCCUGCGCCGCCCGCUAGCUAGCUCCCGCCUCAGAGCGAAGCGUGCACGCCCACGGCCGGCCGCCACCCUGAGUUGAGAGCCGAUCAAGCCUCGCUGACUUGCAGGUGUGUACGUGGCUAGUGGUAUUUUUGAAAAACAAAAAAGGCAACGCGUCUGUGAUGAUAAAUAAAGGCAAAAAAAAUAUCCCCUAU